rnacentral:rRNA from 1 species
UACAGAGGUGGCAAGCGUUGUUCGGAAUUACUGGGCGUAAAGGGCGAGUAGGCGGCCUUCUAAGUCAGACGUGAAAUCCCCCCGGCUUAACCUGGGAACUGCGUCUGAUACUGGGAGGCUCGAGUAUGGGAGAGGGAUGUAGAAUUCCAGGUGUAGCGGUGAAAUGCGUAGAUAUCUGGAGGAAUACCGGUGGCGAAGGCGGCAUCCUGGACCAUUACUGACGCUGAAUCGCGAAAGCUAGGGGGAGCAAACGGG